GGGGUCGUGGCUUGGUGGUAGAGCACCUGCCUUGCAUGCAGAAGUUUCCACGUUCAAGGCCCAGCAGCUCCA
rnacentral:tRNA from 1 species